rnacentral:lncRNA from 1 species
CCUUCUGCCAUUAUUGUAAGUUUCCUGAGGCCUCCUAACCAUGCUUCCUGUACAGACUAUGGAACUCCAUUUGUAAGAGAGGAUCAUGGAAUGAAUACGGGCAUUGAGUCAAGCAGUCUGUGUUCCACUGGCGGUGUGACCUGGGGCAGGCCAUUUCACCUCACUGAGCCUUAGUUUCCUCACCUGUAAAAUGUGAAAAAUAUCACCUUCCUUACCAGGCUUUUCUGAGGAUUUAAUGACAUCAUGUUCAGUGCCCAGUAUGGGUGGAUAAUACCCAGGAGUUUCCUCCUCUUCUCCUCCUAAGUUGACUUGAUGCCCCCCGCUGAAGAUCAUGGCUGAACUGGCUCAAUUCGGAUCCAGGACUCCUGGCUUUGUCUCUUCCCUAGUUGCCCACCACACCCAUGGACACCCUUAGGUAGUUUAUCCUUUUGGGACAACUGGAUUUAUUAGAAAAGGGUAUUCUGGGGUGGAAUAAGGCCCUUUUCAGUCCCCAUGGAGCCUUUUUGGAAGAUGAAGUUCUCAAACCCACAAGAGAAUUCAUAAGACGAGCACACCACCCACAGUUAGGUUUCCCUCUCAAGUGCUUUAUCUCCACGUGGGGCAAAUAGCUCUUUGUCUGCAUAUGUUAUUGGAGCUUUUGGAGUCCAGCCUUCAGAAGAGCUCUAAUUUUUGGAUUCAUAUCAGUUUAUUAGAGAAGCCUAGUUCUAAGGAUUAGCAAAUGGGUAGGUGCUCAGCCAGCCCAGAACAAGCAGAGCCAUGACAGAAGUUUCUGGAAUCUCACAGAGUCGGUGUCUUCAUGGACUCAGGGGGCCUAAAUCCAAUAGCCUGGAUUUGUCACUUUCCCUUAUUCCCUUAUCAAACUCUUCCCUUUUGGACAUCAGAGAAGGAAAGUACUUCCUGUAAGGGGGCAAUUUGCAAAGCUUCAUGGAAGUGGCAUUUGAGUGUGGCCUUAAAGGAUGUGUAGGAUUGGGAACCAUAGAUAUUUAGAGGAAGGCAUUCCUGGCAGAAGGAACAGCAGCAAAACACAGAAGUGGAAAUUAGUAGCAGCAUUAAUGGAGAAUAAUUUGGGGAAUAAGAUAUACAAAUGGAAUAAUAAAAAUAGCAUUAAUUAAACAUUGUGGGAGUCAUUCUGUAAGAUGGCCCCUGGUGA